AGUGCCUAAUACAUGCAAGUAGAACGCUGAGAACUGGUGCUUGCACCGGUUCAAGGAGUUGCGAACGGGUGAGUAACGCGUAGGUAACCUACCUCAUAGCGGGGGAUAACUAUUGGAAACGAUAGCUAAUACCGCAUAAGAGAGACUAACGCAUGUUAGUAAUUUAAAAGGGGCAAUUGCUCCACUAUGAGAUGGACCUGCGUUGUAUUAGCUAGUUGGUGAGGUAAAGGCUCACCAAGGCGACGAUACAUAGCCGACCUGAGAGGGUGAUCGGCCACACUGGGACUGAGACACGGCCCAGACUCCUACGGGAGGCAGCAGUAGGGAAUCUUCGGCAAUGGGGGCAACCCUGACCGAGCAACGCCGCGUGAGUGAAGAAGGUUUUCGGAUCGUAAAGCUCUGUUGUUAGAGAAGAAUGAUGGUGGGCAGUGGAAAAUCCACCAAGUGACGGUAACUAACCAGAAAGGGACGGCUAACUACGUGCCAGCAGCCGCGGUAAUACGUAGGUCCCGAGCGUUGUCCGGAUUUAUUGGGCGUAAAGCGAGCGCAGCUGGUUUUUUAAGUCUGAAGUUAAAGGCAUUGGCUCAACCAAUGUACGCUUUGGAAACUGGAGAACUUGAGUGCAGAAGGGGAGAGUGGAAUUCCAUGUGUAGCGGUGAUAUGCGUAGAUAUAUGGAGGAACACCGGUGGCGAAAGCGGCUC
rnacentral:rRNA from 1 species